AAAGAAACCAACAGGGAUUGCCUCAGUAACGGCGAGUGAAGCGGCAAGAGCUCAAAUUUGAAAGCUGGGCCUUUCAGGUCCCGCAUUGUAAUUUGCAGAGGAUGCUUCGGGAGUGGUCCCCAUCUAAGUGCUCUGGAACGGGCCGUCAUAGAGGGUGAGAAUCCCGUAUGGGAUGGGGUGUCCACGCCCGUGUGAAGCUCCUUCGACGAGUCGAGUUGUUUGGGAAUGCAGCUCUAAAUGGGUGGUAAAUUUCAUCUAAAGCUAAAUAUUGACCGGAGACCGAUAGCGCACAAGUAGAGUGAUCGAAAGAUGAAAAGCACUUUGAAAAGAGAGUUAAAAAGCACGUGAAAUUGUUGAAAGGGAAGCGUUUGCGACCAGACUCGCCUCUAGGGUUCAGCGUGCAUUCGUGCACGUGUACUUCCCUUGGGGCGGGCCAGCGUCGGUUUGGGCGGCCGGUAAAAGGCUCUCGGAAUGUAACGCCUCUCGGGGCGUCUUAUAGCCGAGGGUGCCAUGCGGCCAGCUCAGACCGAGGAACGCGCUUCGGCUCGGACGCUGGCAUAAUGGUCGUAAACGAC
rnacentral:rRNA from 2 species